AAUACACACACAGACACAUGCUGCCUGCAUAUUCAUCCAUAAUUAAAAAAUCUAAAAUUAUAAUUUGUUUUUGAAGGAGACAAAGCAGCAGCUCCCACAGUACACUGGUAACCGUUGAGCGGGAGCCCAGCCGUCACGAUGGUUUUGUGAACUCUGCCGGAGAUCACAGUCCCACACGGACAGCUGCAGCUACAAAGCACCCCAGUGACCUAGAUUCAUCUGUAGAUUACUGUCUGCUUUGGCCUGUGCCUCCCAGAGCUGCACCAGGAGUCUGAUUUUGUUGCACAAGCUAACUUGCUUACUGCUCUGACCCAUUUUACCAUAGCAACCUGGUUUGCUGUACUAGAGGCUAGAAAAAGCACGCAGGCAACUUUUUAAGGAUUCCAAGAUUAAGUUCACUCUCUGCUCUUUUUUUCUUCUCCCCCCACCCCCCACCCUAUGCCCUGAAUGUGCUUAGCAGACAUGACGAAGAUGAACUGACAGUUUCCAACAGCACUGGAAGCCAGGAAAAGAUUUAGGCAAGCUCUCCUACAAGGUUUCUUAUUCAGCCGAUGACCAACACCUUGAACUGCAUCUGAAGCUGGUGGUCAGAGCAAGCCGUCUGACACCUCUUGUGAAAACAACCACUAAGUAUAUGGACAGAAGAACAAAUCAGCACAAAUUAAGGAACAGUGUGCAUCUGCAAGGUCAUAGAUACACCAUGAACACUUCUUGUGUGCCUGCCUUUAAUACAAACUGAAUGGGAAUCCAUCCAUCAGUCCUGUGAAUGCAGCUCUCCUCGCCAAUAUGUUGCAAAAUCAUAUCUGGGCUUACCUCAGGGUAAAGUGUUGUCCUAUAUCUUCAGAAUGCAAUGAGACCUUGAAUCCUGUGUAAAUGCUUUUUCUAAGAUGUUUCAAAAUGUAACUGCAAGCAGAUCAUACAUGAGCAAACCACUCUGGAGAGCGGAGAGAGGCAAAGAUGAAAGCAACCGUGGUCUAUUAAAUUCAUGAAGUUGCAUACUUCAUGAAAGAUUAAAAAUAAAUAAAUAAAUCAUAGAAUCA
rnacentral:lncRNA from 1 species